ACAUUUCAGUUCUUAAGUGUGACAAAUAGGUGUUCACACCGUUGUGUCAUACAUACCUGCUUCAAACUUGUUACAACACUGGCACAUGAUGCAUCUAAUG
rfam:Fukomys damarensis contig107540, whole genome shotgun sequence.